AUUGAACGCUGGCGGCAUGCCUUACACAUGCAAUUCGAACGGGCGCACGGGUGCUUGCACCUGGUGGCGAGUGGCGAACGGGUGAGUAAUACAUCGGAACGUACCUUAUCGUGGGGGAUAACGCAGCGAAAGUUGCGCUAAUACCGCAUACGCCCUGAGGGGGAAAGCGGGGGACCGUAAGGCCUCGCGCGAUUAGAGCGGCCGAUGUCUGAUUAGCUUGUUGGUGAGGUAAAAGCUCACCAAGGCGAUGAUCAGUAGCUGGUCUGAGAGGACGAUCAGCCACACUGGGACUGAGACACGGCCCAGACUCCUACGGGAGGCAGCAGUGGGGAAUUUUGGACAAUGGGGGCAACCCUGAUCCAGCAAUGCCGCGUGAGUGAAGAAGGCCUUCGGGUUGUAAAGCUCUUUUGUCAGGGAAGAAACAGCAGCUCUAACACAGACUGCGAAUGACGGUACCUGAAGAAUAAGCACCGGCUAACUACGUGCCAGCAGCCGCGGUAAUACGUAGGGUGCGAGCGUUAAUCGGAAUUACUGGGCGUAAAGCGUGCGCAGGCGGUUAUACAAGACAGGCGUGAAAUCCCCGGGCUUAACCUGGGAAUGGCGUCUGUGACUGUAUAGCUAGAGUGUGUCAGAGGGGGGUGGAAUUCCACGUGUAGCAGUGAAAUGCGUAGAUAUGUGGAGGAACACCAAUGGCGAAGGCAGCCCCCUGGGAUAACAC
rnacentral:rRNA from 1 species